GCGGGGGUUCCAGAGUGGUCAAAUGGGCAGGACUUAAGACGUCGCUUUUUCACAAGAAAAAGUAAAGUUAGGAUUUCGUUAGAAAUCCUGUGUGCUUAGUGCCUUCGUAGGUUCGAAUCCUACCCUCCGCA
rnacentral:tRNA from 1 species